CUGCCAUGAGGAAAAUAGUGCAGAACCAACCGAGUGCUGCCUGCCACUGCCAGCAAAAGCAACAGCAACAAUGAUCCAGACGAUAGCCAAAGCCCAGACUGUUCUGUGCAGUCCCUGAUAGAGGGCAUGUGGCACAGAUGGGUAGUCUGGGGUCUCCCUGAGGGCAAAGGCCAAGCCAAACACCACUGCCAUGAGGAAAAUAGUGCAGAACCAACCGAGUGCUGCCUGCCACUGCCAGCAAAAGCAACAGCAACAAUGAUCCAGACGAUAGCCAAAGCCCAGACUGUUCUGUGCAGUCCCUGAUAGAGGGCAUGUGGCACAGAUGGGUAGUCUGGGGUCUCCCUGAGGGCAAAGGCCAAGCCAAACACCACUGCCAUGAGGAAAAUAGUGCAGAACCAACCGAGUGCUGCCUGCCACUGCCAGCAAAAGCAACAGCAACAAUGAUCCAGACGAUAGCCAAAGCCCAGACUGUUCUGUGCAGUCCCUGAUAGAGGGCAUGUGGCACAGAUGGGUAGUCUGGGGUCUCCCUGAG